rnacentral:rRNA from 1 species
UACGAAGGGGGCGAGCGUUGUUCGGAAUUACUGGGCGUAAAGGGCGCGUAGGCGGCCGAUCAAGUCAGAUGUGAAAGUCCUGGGCUUAACCUGGGGACUGCAUUUGAUACUGAUUGGCUUGAAUUCGGGAGAGGAUAGCGGAAUUCCCAGUGUAGAGGUGAAAUUCGUAGAUAUUGGGAAGAACACCGGUGGCGAAGGCGGCUAUCUGGACCGACAUUGACGCUGAGACGCGAAAGCGUGGGGAGCAAGCAGG